rnacentral:rRNA from 1 species
CCUACGGGUGGCAGCAGUGAGGAAUAUUGGUCAAUGGACGAGAGUCUGAACCAGCCAAGUAGCGUGAAGGAUGACUGCCCUAUGGGUUGUAAACUUCUUUUAUAUGGGAAUAAAACGUUCCACGUGUGGGAUUUUGUAUGUACCAUAUGAAUAAGGAUCGGCUAACUCCGUGCCAGCAGCCGCGGUACUACGGAGGAUCCGAGCGUUAUCCGGAUUUAUUGGGUUUAAAGGGAGCGUAGGUGGAUUGUUAAGUCAGUUGUGAAAGUUUGCGGCUCAACCGUAAAAUUGCAGUUGAAACUGGCAGUCUUGAGUACAGUAGAGGUGGGCGGAAUUCGUGGUGUAGCGGUGAAAUGCUUAGAUAUCACGAAGAACUCCGAUUGCGAAGGCAGUUCACUGGACUGCAACUGACACUGAGGCUCGAAAGUGUGGGUAUCAAACAGGAUUAGAUACCCUUGUAGUC